UCAUGAAUCCCGGAGGAACUGUCGUGAACAUAUCGUCCAUUUGUGGAAUUGAGGUCGUUCACCCAGACACGGCCCUUGUACCAGUCUAUACCGCCAGUAAAGCAGGGGUGGUCGCUUAUACAAGAUGUUUCGCUUUAAACCCCGAGGUGAAACG